UGAGGAACAUGACCUUCGGCGGGGGAGUAGCCGGCCCAACGGCCGGGUAAUACCGCGUACGACCACAUGGGGACAUCCCCGAGUGGUGAAAGCAGCAAUGCGCCGAUGGAGUGCCUCGCGGCCUAUCAGCUAGUUGGUGAGGUAACGGCUCACCAAGGCGACGACGGGUAGCUGGUCUGAGAGGAUGGCCAGCCACAGUUGGGACUGAGACACGGCCCAGACCUCCGUAGGGACGG
rnacentral:rRNA from 1 species